UUGUCGUCAAUUCGUCAGCCAUGCUGGUGAUGAGGGCCUACCACAACCCCGGCAGCCCCCAUCCUCUAAUAAUCCAACACAUCAUCGCGAGCUUGGGGAGGAAGACGAACAAUGCUCGAGGGCCUACCUGCAGCGAUGACAUCAUCCUUCUGCAAAGCAUCGGCCGUCCCUCACGCGCGCGAUAAAUAGAUCCCCGGAUGAUGACCACGGUGAAUUUGCUGGUGAUGCAUGAGGAUUCCGCUCUGGCCUCGAACUCGAUGAAUUGAUCCGCUGAUUUAUAUGCACGGAGUGGCUACACGUCGCAUCGAGUGGAUUGACAUGAUGAAGAGAUCCUUCAAGCUCGUACGAUGAUCACUCCUACCUGGCAUGGGGAUCGCCAAAUCUGGAGCUUGAUGGUAAAAGCGAGGACACAAGACACGAAUUUAUAUAAAUUUGGACCGCUAGAGUAUAGCGUAUUACCCAAUAUCAUGUUCUGGGUGUUGUAUAUAUAUUGUGCUUUGCGCUUGGAUGUUGUUUUGCUUAGUUUUGCCUUGUGGUGGUUCUGCCAAUCUAUGUAUCCAUACCUCCCUAGUCUUUAUAUAUUUCAAUGGGGGAUUACUAAUCGGUUACAAGGUAGGAGUCCUAGAGGAUUACAAAGAAAUUCUAGUUGGGUUCCAUCUUUUUCCUUCCUUGCGGGUACUGAAGAUCUAUCACCAACAUGUAGUUCUUAAUAAACUGCUUAAAAAUAGGGAUUAAAAUCCCUUAGCAAACUCUA